UGACAAGCUACUAAGAGCACAUGAUGGAUGCCUUGGCACUGAGAGGCGAAGAAGGACGCAGCAAUCUGCGAGAAGCUACGGGGAGCUGAUAAGCAAGCAUUGAUCCGUAGAUAUCCGAAUGGGGAAACCCACUCCUUAUUAGGAGUAUCUUACAC
rnacentral:rRNA from 1 species